rnacentral:rRNA from 1 species
GCCCUGGAGUGGGGGAUAACGCAGCGAAAGUUGCGCUAAUACCGCAUACGAUCUAAGGAUGAAAGUGGGGGAUUCGCAAGAACCUCAUGCUCCUGGAGCGGCCGAUAUCUGAUUAGCUAGUUGGUGGGGUAAAGGCCUACCAAGGCAUCGAUCAGUAGCUGGUCUGAGAGGACGACCAGCCACACUGGAACUGAGACACGGUCCAGACUCCUACGGGAGGCAGCAGUGGGGAAUUUUGGACAAUGGGCGAAAGCCUGAUCCAGCAAUGCCGCGUGAGUGAAGAAGGCCUUCGGGUUGUAAAGCUCUUUUGUCAGGGAAGAAACGGUGGCCUCUAAUACAGGUUGCUAAUGACGGUACCUGAAGAAUAAGCACCGGCUAACUACGUGCCAGCAGCCGCGGUAAUACGUAGGGUGCAAGCGUUAAUCGGAAUUACUGGGCGUAAAGCGUGCGCAGGCGGUUUUGUAAGUCUGUCGUGAAAUCCCCGGGCUCAACCUGGGAAUUGCGAUGGAGACUGCAAGGCUAGAAUCUGGCAGAGGGGGGUAGAAUUCCACGUGUAGCAGUGAAAUGCGUAGAGAUGUGGAGGAACACCGAUGGCGAAGGCAGCCCCCUGGGUCAAGAUUGACGCUCAUGCACG